GAGACGUUAUCGCCACCACCACCACCACCGCUGUCUCAACAUCAGCGUACUUAGUCUUGCCGUUGAAGAGACACUAAGACGGCGGUGGUGGAAGUGGUGGUGAUGGUGGUGAUGUAUUGCUUUAGUCAGUGGUGUAUAGGAGUGGUGAUGAAGUGGUCGUGAUGAAGUGGUGAUGAGGAAAAUUUCAUACCAUUCACUACCAUAGACUUUUAUACUGUGCCCUACCCCACCCCCCACUACCACUUCUACUACUACUACUACUACUACUACUACUACUGCUGUUACUGUGUUUCCCUCACCCGAGUGACUAACCGGACGUGUCAUCGGAGGAGUUAACUAACCUCGCUGGUGGUGGUGGUGGUGGUGGUGGUGGUGUUUGUUGUACAUCCUCCUGCUCCUCCUCCUGCUCCUCCUCCCGCCCACUUCAGUCUGGCUAGUGAAGUGGUGGAGUGGGCUGGCCUGCUGGGGCUUGUCCAAAACAACAAACGAAGGAAAAAAAAACAUUAACUCUCACCAAUUAGAAAAAAACGGAAAAAAUCAAACAGGAACGUAAACAAGAAAAACAAAACAAAAAGAAAAAAAACAACCGAUUAACAGAACCAAAAGACUAUCACAACAACACCGAAAAAAAAAAAAAAGUGUUAUCCGGUGACGUACUGAAGCAGCUAGAAAGAAAUAAGUUGUUACAUUGGUGCUAAAUAGAAAUAAGUUAACUAAAGUGUUGGUGGCGCGGAAAGAAAGUGAAGGUGGACUCGUGCAUAGCCUAGUGAAAAAGGGAGUUGUUGUUAGCGACGGCAGCGGAAAAGAAAGUGAUGGUGGUGGCGGCGGUGAUGGUGGUGAUGGAAGGAAGUGUUUAGCCCUGCAGGGAAGAACAUAAAGGCUGAAAGUUGAGGGUAGUGGAGACGUGAUGGAAGUGAUGUGAGUAUUGUGUGGGGAAAUCAGACAAAAAGGAAAGCGAAGAGACUAGAGUACGAGAAAGAAAGUUGAGGGUAAUUGAGACGUGAUGAAAGUGAUGUGAGUAUUGUACGGGGAAACGGAACAGAAAAUAAAGCGAAUAAAGAAGCUCGAAUACCAGAAAGAAAUAGGAAAAAGAGAGAAACAAAGACUGAGUUAAAGAAAGACGUAGAUAUAUGAAGGAAGUGUCGAGAGGCUUGAUAAAAAGGGAGGAAAACAUUAAACAUCACGGAAGAAAGAAUGGGUUAGGAUAAUAUUGGUAAAGGAUACAAGUGGCUAUUUGCUCAGUCAUAAAAAAACUGAUAAAAAAUGCGUUAAAGAGGUAAACGGAGAAAAGGCAAAGGAAAACGAAAACUAAAGCAAAAAACUAAAUAGAUAAAUAAAAGGAAUUAGACACGUUGAACCCAAAAUAGAUUAUGUUGGAACGAAAGAACAAGAAAAUUAAAACACCAACAAAAAAUGGCUUUCAGUAAUCAUUAGUUUAGUGGAUAAAGAAUAGAAAAAAAAGUAAACGAGGGAACAGUCGUCAUCGGUGCAUAUAUAUAGUGGUGACGAUGAUGACAGCGAUGAUGACGAUGAUGAUGCCUGAGCGUGCCAAAAAGAUGCCACUAGCCCUGUUCGGGAGGGAGAAUGCCACCACCACCACCACCACCACGACAACAACAACAACAACAACAAACACUACCAACAACAACAACAACAACACAAACAACAACAAGAACGCGAGGAAGUGGAAUUUCUGGCCCCCGUUCACCAGGAAGAAAAAGAGGCGUGCCCAGCAUAAAUGUGGUAAGUUGUUGUGUAAUUCAACAACAACCGCCGACAGCAAUGAUAGCUUGGACGGGCCAGAGCCAGACGGUAAGCUUCAUCACCUGCCUACCUGUAAACGCCUGUGAGCGUGACAACAUACUGCGGCGGUGAGGAUGCGAGGCUGUCCGAUCAGUCAGUCUAUCUUACUCAUUUCACUCGUUUUUCAUUGUUUUAUUUGAGAUCAAAGUGUUCAUCCUUGCUCUCUGUCUCUUUCUGCCUUACCUUCAUUUUCAUUCCCAUUUCCUUUCUUCUGUUCUUCUCCCUGUCUCCCUCUCCCUUCAUUUUCAUUCCCCUUCUCCCCCCAUCGCCUUUACAAACUUUCCUCCCAUCUCCCUUCUCCCCCUUUUCCCUAUCUCCUCUCUCGACCUCCUUUUCCUUACCCUCUCUCCUCUCAUCUCCUUGACAAACUUUUCCUCUCUUUUACCCUUCUUCCCCUCCCUCUCUCCCUUCCUCACUUCCUUUCUUUUCCUUCCUCCUCUCCUCUUCAGACUUCUUUUUCCUUCCCUUCUCUUUGACAAUCUUUUCUUCCUUCUACCCUUCUUCCCCACCCUCUCUAUUUCUCUCCCUUCUUGCUCUCUCCCCCUUUCCUCUCCCUCCUCUCUUUCCUCCUCUCUCCUUCACAAACUUUUCCUUUCUUCUACUCUUCUUCCCCAUCCUCUCUCCCUCUCCCUCUCCCCCUCUGUCCCACUUCCCCUCUUUUCUCCCCUCUCCACAAACUCCCCUCUUCUACCCUUCUUCCUCACCCUCCCUUUCUUCCCGUUCCCACCUCCCCUUCCCUUUCUCCCUCUAUAUUCCUCCCUCCUCUCUCCCUCUAAUUCCCCUAACGCCUUCCCCCCUCCUACCCUUAUUCUCCACCUUCCCUCUCCCCUCUCUCCUCUCCCUCCCUUCCCCUUCCUUCUCCCUCUCCUUGUAUCACCCUCUGUGGAUAUUUGGGCUUAACCGGCUCGUACUGAAACAUUUACCGACGGCUGGACACUAAGAGGGGGAGGCGGCGGGCCGUGAAAUAUGUACCCGUGUGUGUGUGUGUGUGUGUGUGUGUGUGUGUGUGUGUGUGUGUGUGUUGCUUGUUGCUGGGUGCCUCCGCGGGUGGUAUUGGUGUGUAUUGCAUGCCUGUGUAUCGGAUUGGAUUGCGAGUGUUUCAAGUGGAGGAGGAUGUGAAACGCGAGAGGCCGGUGGAGAGUUAGAAUAGUAUGGUACGAAGGCUAUUAUUGUAGGUACCAAGUGUGAUAUGAUAGGUACGAGAGUUCUUAUUGAAGGUACGAAGGUUGUUAUUGUAGGUACGAAGGUUGUUAUUGUGGGUACGAAGGUUGUUAUUGUAGGUACGAAGGUUGUUAUUGUAGGUACGAAGGUUGUUAUUGUAGAUACGAAGGUUGUUAUUGAUUGUACGAAGGUUGUUAUUGUUGGUACGAAGGUUGUUAUUGUGGGUACGAAGGUUGUUAUUGUAGGCACGAAGGUUAUUGAAGGUACGAAGGUUAUUAAGGGUACGAAGAUUGUUAUUGAAGGGACGAAGGUAGGCGGAACGUAUACGAUAUUUUAAGGGUGUGAUAGAUAGUUGUGUGGUUACUAGAUUAUAGGUUAUAGAUUAAAGUUGUUAUUGUUAUUUAUUUUUGUUAUUGUUUGUAUUCAUUGUUGUCUUUACUGAGGGCGGGAUAUUAAUUCGAAUGAUCACUAGUUAUAGGCUCGGGGUUAUAGAUGUGGUUGUUAUUUUUUGAAGUGGGAAGCUCGAGGUUAUUGUAACGGCUUAUAGUAAUCGGUGGCAGAGUUUUGUGUGAUAGUAAUAAAUCACUUCAGUUUCUCCUUUUUUGUUAAUGUAAUCGUGUAAUCGUAGUAAGCCACACGUAUUUUUUUUCCUUGUCAGUGUAAGCUUAGUUUUGAUACUAAUAAUUCUAACUAAUAUAUUCCUGGAGGUGACCAUUUGUUUUUGUCAGUGUAAUCGUGUGUAAUCUUAAUAUCGUUACCCUCAUAAAGUAAUCGCCUAAGUCAUUUUUCAGCGAUUUCCAGGUUUUUCUCUACAUCAAUUUUUCAACAAGUGACGCCCAUUUUUGUAUAGUUGCCUUCGUUAUUCAGGGUUUGAGUGUUCUGGAAUUGGCCUUUUCAUUUCUGCCUAAAUCUUAAGCCAAAUGAGAUGACAGUUCUUUUCUGAUUUCCUGUAAAGUAGAAAAUAAUGACUUGGGCGCUUUGUUUACGAAGGUGACGAUAUAUCACUUCAUUUUUUUUGUCAAUGUAAUCGUAAUAAAUCACUCACUUCAUUUUUUAAGGUAAGGGCUCGGUUAAGGGAUAAUGUAUUGGUAUAAUCGACAUCGAAUAGAAGUGAUCUGAUACGAAGAUACGGUUACAUUGACGCAACAUGAAGCGAUCUGUUACGAUUACACUCUGCAAGCACUUACUCAAUCAUGAUCACUUGUUUGUCCGUGUAGUCGUGUAAUGGUAAUCGAGCACUCUCACAAAGGCAUCAGAUCCGUCAGACCCUGCGAAUGGACCUCCGUUGAGCUGCACAGACUUAUUCAUAAAGCAGAUGAGUGUGUGUUUCAGUCGUUAAGUGCACCGCCGAAAGUCACAUGAAAACAGAAUCGGCUAAUGGGUCACCACUUGACUGAAGUUUCCGUAUGACACAGGGAUUGGACGCGGGAGUUACUGAAGCGCCAAUUGUAUUUUAUUUUCUUUCUAACCUUUUCAGUCAUGUAUUAAAAAGUAUGUGGCGACGAGAAUGAGUUCAUAAUUCUAUCCAAGAAGAUUGUAACUUUAUUGCUGAAUAACGACCGAUGAAAAACAGCAUUGAUCUUGGCUUUUGAGAGAAAUAUAAAAUGAAAUAAAUUGGUGGUAGUAGUAGUAGUAGUAGUAAUAGUAUAUAGUAGUAGUAGUAUAUAGUAGUAGUAGUGGUAGUAGUAGUAGUAGUAUUAGUAGUAAUAGUAGUAGUAGUAGUAGUAGUAGUAGUAGUAGUAGUAGUAGUAAUAUUAGUAGCAGUAGUAGUAUAAGUAGAAGAAGAAGAAGAAGAAAGAACAGUAGAAGUAGUAGUAGAAUUAAGAGUCAUAGAAGUAGUAGAAGAAAGGGUUGUAGAAGUAGUAGUAUAAGGGGUUGUAGCAGUGUUAUCUACCCGCACCCAACAAAGAGUGCCCUUAUCACCCCUGUCAGGCAUUAUCAAGGGGGUUCGUUGUCGCCGCCGCGUCUUAUCACCCCCGCCAGCCCGUUUUUUAUGCCUGUGCUUGCCAAGACUGAGCCGCGACUAUUUUGCCGUUCCGUCGGGUUGUUCGUAGCCUGUCUGUUGUGUGUGCCGCCCUUUGCUCCGCGCCGCCCCAGCUCAUUAGUCAUGUUCUCCUCCUCCUCC